rnacentral:rRNA from 1 species
GAUGAACGCUGGCGGCGUGCCUAAUACAUGCAAGUCGAGCGAACGGACGAGAAGCUUGCUUCUCUGAUGUUAGCAGCGGACGGGUGAGUAACACGUGGAUAACCUACCUAUAAGACUGGGAUAACUUCGGGAAACCGGAGCUAAUACCGGAUAAUAUUUUGAACCGCAUGGUUCAAAAGUAAAAGACGGUCUUGCUGUCACUUAUAGAUGGAUCCGCGCUGCAUUAGCUAGUUGGUAAGGUAACGGCUUACCAAGGCAACGAUGCAUAGCCGACCUGAGAGGGUGAUCGGCCACACUGGAACUGAGACACGGUCCAGACUCCUACGGGAGGCAGCAGUAGGGAAUCUUCCGCAAUGGGCGAAAGCCUGACGGAGCAACGCCGCGUGAGUGAUGAAGGUCUUCGGAUCGUAAAACUCUGUUAUUAGGGAAGAACAUAUGUGUAAGUAACUGUGCACAUCUUGACGGUACCUAAUCAGAAAGCCACGGCUAACUACGUG